CCUACGGGGGGCAGCAGUAGGGAAUAUUGCUCAAUGGGGGAAACCCUGAAGCAGCAACGCCGCGUGGAGGAUGAAGGUUUUAGGAUUGUAAACUCCUUUUGUUAGAGAAGAUUAUGACGGUAUCUAACGAAUAAGCACCGGCUAACUCCGUGCCAGCAGCCGCGGUAAUACGGAGGGUGCAAGCGUUACUCGGAAUCACUGGGCGUAAAGAGUGCGUAGGCGGGGUAAUAAGUCAGAUGUGAAAUCCUGUGGCUUAACUACAGAACUGCAUUUGAAACUGUUACUCUGGAGUGUGGGAGAGGUAGGUGGAAUUCUUGGUGUAGGGGUAAAAUCCGUAGAGAUCAAGAGGAAUACUCAUUGCGAAGGCGACCUGCUGGAACAUUACUGACGCUGAUGCACGAAAGCGUGGGAAUCGAACAGGAUUAGAUACCCCAGUAGUC
rnacentral:rRNA from 1 species